rnacentral:misc_RNA from 1 species
UUAAUGAUGAUUAUAAGGUGGUUAAGAUCUUUAGUUUUCCGCGAAAUGAGGGGAGAUAUGAGAAUAAGGUGAAGGUUUAUAGCUUGAAGUAUGAUUCUUGGAAAAUGGGUGAGGCGUUUGAUAGUGGUUAUGUUAAUGCACAAUCCGGGAUGUGUUUGAAUGGAUAUCUUCAUUGGGAGGUAAGCCAUUGUCGCGACUCUGGUGAUGGUGAUGGUGGUGGUGG